GCUGGGAAGGAGCUCUGUGACCUCCUCUCCAAUCCAAGAACUCCAGGUGAUGUGCUGAACAGGGCUGGAGCAAAUCCUCGGGCAGCUCAUUAUGGAUGUUUCUGCUAAAUGGACACCUCAUAGCAGCGCAAGACAUUUUCCUUUGCACUGCGUGGUUUCAUCAAGGGCAGCCAGUUUUCUUGUUUGGUCAGUAAAUCUCAGCUGUUGCCUUCUUCAAGACUCCUCUUCACACAUAAGAAGCACCUCCAAAAUCCAGCUGUGACCGAAGAUCAUCUAGAGAUAGUGACAAUGUUUUGAAAGUCCCAUCCUAGUCUCAUACCUAGAAUGGUAUCAAAUAAGACAGCAUGGGACAUGCGGAAGAGAAUUGGUGGAACUUGGACCAUGCAAGAGGAAAAGGGUCCCAGGCUAAAGCAGAAUAAAGACCUUUCCCAAAACACACUGGCCAGGCAGUGUGGAUUUCUUCACCAAGAAAUGAUGCAAGUCCAGCUACUGGGUCUAUCUGGUGAUGGAGACUGGACAAGCAGUGAGCCUUUCUCACCUCAGCAGAGCGGCACUGAGGUAGCAUGUACGAGAAGGAUGUGCAGCGUCUGACCCAAGGUCUACUCUAUAGUGAAGGUCCAGGAUCUUUUCACACAGAUGCCCUGGGACCCAUUCUAAACACAUACACGCCAUGUUGUUACAUUCCACAGCAACAGCUAAAGGUGAGUACUCUGCAAAGCAGACUCAACUGACUGCUUGACUCAAAGUCAAGAAGAGAAAUGAAAUCAUUUCCUUCCUUCUCUAGACUAAGCGAUUUCUUGGCCUAGAGAGUAAUAGUAACAGGAAACUCCUACGUUACAAAGAUGAUAUGCCCAAUUAAACAAGCCCUUCUCAGCUAAUGUGAGUCACUUAUAGCCAUUCUCUCUAUAUAUAUACAUCUCUUCUCUCACAUGCCUUUGGGCUAUUUGGUGACAAGCCACGUAGUCUGAUAAUAAUAAAGGAGGAAAGUGGCAGGAUUCCCUAUCCUUCAUAUAUUCAAGGGCCUUCUCUCUCCCAGUUUUUCUCUACAUCAAUUAGAAGUACUACAAGCCCUCAAAUUCUCCUUAUGAGUGAGUAACAGUCUUAAUCAUCACUGUCUCUUGAAUUUAUCACACAAUAUUGAUUUUUGUCAAGUCAUUA
rnacentral:lncRNA from 1 species